rnacentral:rRNA from 1 species
AUAGCAAUAUUCUGCAGUCGGAGUGGCGCAAGGGUGCUUAACACGUGGGUAAUUUGCCAUGAAGCUGUGGAUAACUCCGAGAAAUCGGAGCUAAUACGGAAUGUGAUCAUUUGGGGACAUCCUCAAAUGGUUAAAGUUGGGGACUGCAAAGCCUGACACUUCAUGAUAAGCCCGCGGCCUAUCAGCUAGUUGGCGGGGUAACGGCCCACCAAGGCUAAGACGGGUAGCUGGUCUGAGAGGACGACCAGCCACACUGGAACUGAGACACGGUCCAGACACCUACGGGUGGCAGCAGUCGAGAAUUUUUCACAAUGGGCGCAAGCCUGAUGGAGCGACGCCGCGUGGGGGAUGAAUGGCUUCGGCCCGUAAACCCCUGUCAUUCGCGAGCAAAGCCACUUCGAUAAUACCGGAAUGGCUGAUCGUAGCGAAAGAGGAAGGGACGGCUAACUCUGUGCCAGCAGCCGCGGUAAUACAGAGGUCCCAAGCGUUGUUCGGAUUCACUGGGCGUAAAGGGUGCGUAGGUGGCAAGGUAAGUUCGGUGUGAAAUCUCUGGGCUUAACCCAGAAAUGGCAUUGGAUACUCUCUUGCUCGAGGUUUGGAGGGGGGACUGGAAUUCUCGGUGUAGCAGUGAAAUGCGUAGAUAUCGAGAGGAACACCCGUGGCGAAGGCGAGUCCCUGGACAACACCUGACACUGAGGCACGAAAGCUAGGGGAGCAAACAGGAUUAGAUACCCUGGUAGUCCUAGCCCUAAACGGUGCACAUUUGCUGUGGGCGGAUUCGACCCCGCCUGUGGCGGAGCUAACGCAAUAAAUGUGCCGCCUGGGAAGUACGGUCGCAAGAUUAAAACUCAAAGAAAUUGACGGGGGCCUGCACAAGCGGUGGAGUAUGUGGCUCAAUUCGAUCAACGCGAAGAACCUUACCUGGCCUUGACAUGUGGGUGGUAGAAGGAUGAAAGUCUAACGAACCCGUAAGGGAAGCCUACACAGGUGCUGCAUGGCUGUCGUCAGCUCGUGUCGUGAGAUGUUGGGUUAAGUCCCGCAACGAGCGCAACCCUUGUGUCCUGUUGCUACCGGGGCGAAAGUCCCGGGCACUCUGGACAGACUGCCUCGCUUCAACGGAGAGGAAGGUGGGGAUGACGUCAAGUCAGUAUGGCCCUUACGGCCAGGGCUGCACACGUACUACAAUGCCCGGUACAAAGGGAUGCAAGAUCGUAAGAUGGAGCAAAUCCAGUAAAACCGGGCUCAGUUCAGAUUGUCGUCUGCAACUCGACGGCAUGAUCUGGAAUCGCUAGUAAUGGCGCAUCAGCUACGGCGCCGUGAAUACGUUCCCAGGCCUUGUACACACCGCCCGUCACAUCAUGAAAGCCGUAUGUACCCGAAGUCAUUAUGCCGACCGCAAGGAGGCCGAUGCCGAAGGUAUGGACGGUGAUUGG